rnacentral:rRNA from 1 species
GUGGUCAAGUUAUGUAGGGCACAUGGUGGAUGUCUGGGCACUAGGGGCCGAUGAAGGACGUGGGAGGCUGCGAUAAGCCUCGGGGAGCUGUCAACCGAGCUGUGAUCCGAGGGUGUCCGAAUGGGGAAACCCGGCACCCGUGAUGGGGUGUCACCCGCCGCUGAAUAUAUAGGUGGUGUGGAGGGAACGCGGGGAAGUGAAACAUCUCAGUACCCGUAGGAAGAGAAAACAAUAUGUGAUUCCGUGAGUAGUGGCGAGCGAAAGCGGAUGAGGCUAAACCGUGCGCAUGUGAAAAUUGUCAGGUGUUGUGUGUGCGGGGUUGUGGGACCCAUUGUCUGAGGGCUGACACUCUCAGCGUUGCUGCGCAUGGUUAGUGGAACAGUCUGGGAUGGCUGGCCGGAGUGGGUGAGAGUCCCGUACGCGAAAACUGUGUUGUGGUGAUGUGGUGGUGUUCCCGAGUAGCAGCGAGCUCGUGGAAUUUGCUGUGAAUCUGCCGGGACCACUCGGUAAGCCUAAAUACUUCCUAGUGACCGAUAGCGGACGAGUACCGUGAGGGAAAGAUGAAAAGUACCCCGGGAGGGGAGUGAAAGAGUACCUGAAACCGUGUGCCUGCAAGCCGUCAGAGCGUUGUUUUGGCAAUGUGAUGGCGUGCCUUUUGAAGAAUGAGCCUGCGAGUUCGUGCUGCGUGGCGAGGUUAACCCGUGUGGGGUAGCCGUAGCGAAAGCGAGUCUGAAUAGGGCGUGUAGUUGCGUGGUCGAGACCCGAAGCGGAGUGAUCUACCCAUGGCCAGGGUGAAGCGCCGGUAAGACGGUGUGGAGGCCCGAACCCACCAGGGUUGAAAACCUGGGGGAUGAGUUGUGGGUAGGGGUGAAAGGCCAAUCAAACUCCGUGAUAGCUGGUUCUCCCCGAAAUGCAUUUAGGUGCAGCGUCGCAUGUUUCACACCUGGGGUAGAGCUACUGGAUGGCCUAGGGGCCUUACCGGGUUACCGAAGUCAACCAAACUCCGAAUACGGGUGUGUGAGAGUGCGGCAGUGAGACGGCGGGGGAUAAGCUUCGUCGUCGAGAGGGAAACAGCCCAGAACGCCAGCUAAGGCCCCUAAGUGUGUGCUCAGUGGGAAAGGAUGUGGAGUCGCUGAGACAACCAGGAGGUUGGCUUAGAAGCAGCCAUCCUUGAAAGAGUGCGUAAUAGCUCACUGGUCAAGUGGUUCUGCGCCGACAAUGUAGCGGGGCUUAAGCACACCGCCGAAGCUGUGUCGCUCACACAAGAGAUCGGUGUCCUUCUUUGGGAAGGGUAUCUAGUCGUGUGGGUGGGUAGGGGAGCGUCCUGCAUCCAGGGAAGCCACGGUGGAAACCAGUGGUGGAGGGUGUGGGAGUGAGAAUGCAGGCAUGAGUAGCGAAUGCAGAGUGAGAAUCUCUGCCGCCGGAUGACCAAGGGUUCCUGGGCCAGGUUGUUCCGCCCAGGGUAAGUCGGGACCUAAGGCGAGGCCGACAGGCGUAGUCGAUGGACAACGGGUUGAUAUUCCCGUACCCGCGUAUGUGCGUCCAUGGUGAGGCAGGGGAUACUAACCACCCGAAGCCCGCAUUGUUCCCUUUGGGUUCGGUGUGUGGUGGAGCGUGGGAUCUGAUCCUGUAGUAGUCAAGUGAUGGGGUGACGCAGGAAGGUAGCCUCGCCAGUGAGUGGUAGUACUGGUGUAAGCGUGUGGCCCGUCUGGUAGGUAAAUCCGCCAGGCUGUCUUGGAUGACGUGGGUGAGGCGUGAUGCGUAGCCGUUUGUGGUGAAGUAGGGUGAUCCUCUGCUGCCGAGAAAAGCCUCUAGCGAGUGCGUGCGUGGCCCGUACCCUAAACCGACACAGGUGGUCAGGUAGAGAAUACUAAGGCGAUCGGGUGAACUGUGGUUAAGGAACUCGGCAAAUUGCCCCCGUAACUUCGGGAGAAGGGGGGCCAAACAUCCUGAAGCCUUUUGCGGGCUAGGGGUGGGUGGCCGCAGAGACCAGCGGAAAGCGACUGUUUACUAAAAACACAGGUCCAUGCGAAGACGCAAGUCGAGGUAUAUGGACUGACGCCUGCCCGGUGCUGGAACGUUAAGAGGACCGGUUAACUCCUUUCGGGGGGUGAAGCUGAGAAUUUAAGCGCCAGUAAACGGCGGUGGUAACUAUAACCAUCCUAAGGUAGCGAAAUUCCUUGUCGGGUAAGUUCCGACCUGCACGAAUGGCGUAACGACUUUCCGGCUGUCUCAACCACAGGCCCGGCGAAAUUGCACUACGAGUAAAGAUGCUCGUUUCGCGCGGCAGGACGGAAAGACCCCGGGACCUUUACUAUAGCUUGGUAUUGGUUUUCGGUUCGGCUUGUGUAGGAUAGGUGGGAAACUGUGAAGCUGGCACGCUAGUGUUGGUGGAGUUAAUCUUGAAAUACCACUCUGGUCGAAUGGGGAAUCUAACUUCGGACCGUGAUCCGGUUCAGGGACAGUGCCUGGUGGGUAGUUUAACUGGGGCGGUUGCCUCCCAAAGAGUAACGGAGGCGCCCAAAGGUUCCCUCAGCCUGGUUGGCAAUCAGGUGUUGAGUGUAAGUGCACAAGGGAGCUUGACUGUGAGACUGACAGGUCGAGCAGGUACGAAAGUAGGGACUAGUGAUCCGGCACCUCCUGGUGGAAGGGGUGUCGCUCAACGGAUAAAAGGUACCCCGGGGAUAACAGGCUGAUCUUGCCCAAGAGUCCAUAUCGACGGCAUGGUUUGGCACCUCGAUGUCGGCUCGUCGCAUCCUGGGGCCGGAGUAGGUCCCAAGGGUUGGGCUGUUCGCCCAUUAAAGCGGCACGCGAGCUGGGUUUAGAACGUCGUGAGACAGUUCGGUCCCUAUCCGCCGCGCGCGCAGGAGACUUGCGGAAGGCUGUCCCUAGUACGAGAGGACCGGGACGGACGAACCUCUGGUAUGCCAGUUGUCACGCCAGUGGCAUGGCUGGUUAGCUACGUUCGGAAGGGAUAACCGCUGAAGGCAUCUAAGCGGGAAGCCUGUUCCUAGAUGAGGUCUCCCACCCCGUUGUGGGUUAAGGCUCCCAGUAGACCACUGGGUUGAUAGGCCAGACAUGGACGCGCAGUAAUGUGUUAUUGAGUGGACUGGUACUAAUAGGCCGAGGACUUGCCCAC